UUUGCACCCGGGCAAAGCCUAGAAGACGACCCGAGGGCCAAGAGGGAGCUGCGGAGGGGACAGCGGCAGCCCGGAGACGCGGGAAGGAUCGGCCGUUGGAUCGCACCCGAGCCCUAGCAGAGACCAUGGCUCAGCCAUGUUUGGUCAACCAGCGCGACAGGCAGUGGGAUCAGCACCUCGAGAACACAGAAAAGGAUGUUUUGGCAAGCAGGUUUCAAGACACUGGGCUUGGAGGAAAAAAAACCCGCACAUUCGGGGCUGAAGAGUGGUUACGAGCAAACUGCAGCAUUCCUAUGCUGUGGAUAAGGGAGCGCAGCAAAAACAUGCUUCCCCAGAGCUACACGCAUUGCUGAGCAGGGCCCAACAUCUGCAGCCCAAGAGCAUCACUGCUGUGAGUCACCCCGUGGCCCGAGGCCCUGUGGCUUCAGAGGAGAGGCGAAGAGCCCCCGCACACCCUGCAAGGGAGCCUGUGACUCACCUGGAGACGUUCACAGAUGUCUGAAUAAAUAAAAGCAGCUUCUAAGCCCUUUCCUCACAGACACGCACAGAGGUCACGGACCUGACAGCGUGCAGAGCUCAGGAGCCACCACUUGAGUGAUGAGCAAAAUGGAGGGAAUGUGAUGUGAAGGGGCUCGGUUCUGCCUACAGACACCCCAGAGGCAAGAUUUCAGGCACCGAGAUGUGCAUAAAGCUCUUGAGAGACUCACUGCAACAUGAUUUGUCUUAGCAAAAAAAAUUAAGACUGGGAGCACAGAAAUGGGAGCUUUUCAGACCACCUGUGCAGACCACAAAGCCCAAAUCCCUACCGGCUCUGCUGCUCAGCAGCACAGCUCCGUCAUUCAAGCCAUCAUAAGGCCUGCUACUUGCAGAAAGAGGUUAAAACUGCUUUUAUACAUUGGGAUCCCUUGUGCCAGUUGUGUCUUCUUCCUGGAAGCAGUAAUCAGUGAGCAGCAAAUCCCAAACUAGCUGAUUCAUCACAUCUUCCCUGACAGUUGGCUGCAACCUGCCCAGCAGCCUUGAAGCAGGCUGGCAUGGAGGAUGUCCCUCUUGGGUUACGGGGGCUCUGUCCAGAGUUAAAGAUUUGAAUUUCAAAGCACUCGCCUUCUGGUAGCGGGAAGCAACCCGUCCGUAUCCCAUGGUUAUGCCCUGUGCUACCCUGUCUGGGAGAGCAAGCUACGAAGGGAGAGUGAUGGGGCUGAAAGCUAUCUGCCAUCUGGACCAGCUACUGCUGGAGGGCUUUAUCCCCGGAGCGCAAAGUGCAUCCUGGAUGCAUCGUAUGCUUGAUUAAAAUAUAUUCUUGAUUUAACAGAUGUUGGAAAUGCACAGCCCCAAGAUUUGUUCCGUAUUUCCUUACGGAAGCAAGAGCAACACGCACGCCGCAGUUACCAGUCCCCACUCACCUGGGGCACCUCUCCGUAGGCAGCUCCUGCGCUAGGACAGAGCUUUAGACAAACGUUUGUCUGCUCCGUUGUCGUCCUCCUGCGGCCCAGCUCUGAGCUGGGGAUCCAACCUCUCUGCCCCCACCCUCCAUCCCAUCAGGAGACAUGGGAACAGCAAAUCCACACUACAAGCAGUAAUAAGCCAGGCAUGCUGGGCAAGCACCAUUUUCAUGAAAUGGAAGUGUUUCCCAGGGUAGAGGGCUUCCCUCCUCUAGGCAGUCACAUACUGACUCCUCCAAAAUCUUGAGAAAAUGAAUCACAGGGGCACCAAGCCCGUAACAUACACACAAAGCGUAAACUACGGAGAUCUGUCUCCUAACCUCAGGUUCUAGCAGUACUCUGCACACAAGUGUGGAAGGACUACCAGCAGGCAAGGGCACACAGCAAAAACCACCUUGAAGCAUGUGCUUCAAAGCACCUCAGGUUCUGCAAAUUCGGCUUUGAUUGUACAGACAACCUCCCUAGGACCGCCUACACUACCAGCUGAGAAAGGAUUCUCAUUUAAGAAGAAAAACUUUGCAAACUGACCAUUUUUUACUUAUUAAAAAGGAGAAACUACCACAUAACCACCGUGGACUUGUCGCUGCAAGUUCAGUGAUACCUAAUGACAUUGCAAAGAAAAGUUUAAUAUUCACUUUUUGUCCCAAAACAGCUUCCCUUUUUGAAGGCAUUUUAUAUACUUCUACUGCAUGACACUUGGACAGAAAAUUUCUAACCACAGCUUUUACACACAGCCCCAGCAUGCAGACACCACCCUUCCUCUCCUGCACUGCAAGAGGAAUGACCUUCAUUAUCACAGUUAAGACACAGGUUUCUUAUCUUUACUUCGACUAGCUGGUUUCAAAACAAUUUACGGGCCACCUUCAACGUGCACGUUCAGCAGCAAAGGGAAAUAGCGAGCCAGGAGUUUUCCCAGAUAAAUUUGUUCAAAGUUAACAUCACAGAGCGAAUAUCUAAUGUAAAUGCAAGCUUGGGGUAGAUGUCCUUGGUGGUGAUUUACAUAGAGGUAAAGGCACAUAUAAGACAAACUCCUGGCAGGCAGCUACAUGGGACACAGAGACAAUGGAGUGUUUGUGUAUUAGACUCAAACUGAGAAGGCAAAACUCCCUUUCCCUCCAGUCACCCUCUAUUCCAGAAGUUUCAGUAACCACUAUACAUGGCCAACAGAAAAAUGCUUAGUUAUUCCUGCCUGAGACAAGAUCUGGUAUGAAAUGGGACUGAUAAGCUAAUCCUUUAUAUCGACGAGCUGCAGAGCUCAGUAUCUGGUUACUGUCGUCACUGUUACUCACCCGCACUCCAGCACGCCCUCUGCCCUGCUCUCCUCCAUGAGACAGUCAGUAGCAAAAAUGUUCGCUUGCUGAAUUUCCAAGCCCAGUUCAUUCUGGACACAACAGCACUGCACUUCUGACAGGCCCAGAUUCAGCACCCCACUCCCGUCUUGAGCAACCAACCCAGAGCCACAGUGGUUUCAGAAGGCUUAGGGGGUUCUUCUUAAUUUGUUCAGCUGAGAACUCAUUGCUUCUGGGCUAUUCAGCGUCAAUAGGUCAACACUUCUCCAUUGCUUGUACAGAAACAGACUCAAGUCCUUCAUAACCGUUUCAAUUAUUUUAGUUUAUCUCCUGCAACUCCUCUCCCCCCACUCUGUUUAUCGUCUCUGAAAAGCACCUUUUGGUUUUAAAAGUUUAGAUCUUCUUUUCAAAGGGAAACAUCAGUGUGAGAACGUGGAAUAUCUUUACAUUCAAAGCCCUUUCCCUUACAAAUCCUCUUUGAAAUAACUCCUUUGUUUGAUCAUUUAUGCUUUUUUUUAAACUCACAUCUGACUGUGAGUCAGUAUUAUUCUUGAUCACUGCUGCUUUGCUUACUGCUUCUUGGACAAUGGAAUAUCACACUGUGUUUGAACGCAAUCAUGCUGCAGUAAAACAAAUAUGGAUUUUGUUUGUGAAACUGCUUCUGGUCAUAUUAAAGCUUCCUGCUUCUUCCUGAACAACAGAAAACAGGACCACUUUCAUUAGCACCAAAAGGAUUUUAAAUGAACAGUUCCAGGGAGCUCCUUUCAAAUCAUAAAACGUGAAUUUUACAUAAAAGUGUGUUUACAAAUUUUUUCCGCUUUACACUCAGCUCUGCCCAUCACUGACCAGAAGUUAUAUACAUACAGACUAGCUCAGUAGCUUCAACCACUUGCAAGGAGACUGCAGAAUUUAUUUAAGAAAUAAAAAUACGAUUUCCUGGUUCCUAGAAAUUCUCUUCAGCCUGCCAGAUUCAGUCACCUGCCGGCUGCUGCAGACUCAGGAGAGCACUAAGCUUUUGGAGAAAAGGGGUACUGUGGGUGCCACCAAUCCAGGAGCCGCACGCUAUGCACUGGGUCCAACACCACCUGUACUCCUUGAUCAAGGCGAGGUUUCUUGCCAUUGCGAACAGGAGCAUCCUGGAACACCAGGCGCACACGAUGAUGCCUCAUGUCUGUACUCACAUUGAUGGUGAACUGCAAGAAAAAAAGACAAGGACGUGCUAUAGGAGAUGUAUUUUCUGGAAAUAUCCAGUUGUUUCCAGAUACUGUGAUUAUAGACUCUGAUCACUGACACUGGAUAUCAAAGUUACUUCUUUUUGGUUAAGUCAACAUUUAAAAUACAGAACUGAUAACUCCCUUUAGAUAAGUUUUUCACUUACACAAAAAAGAUUUAGAUAUAAUUGCUGAUUUUAUUCACCUCAAAGGAGAAAAUACCAUUUCAAAUCAAAGCAACAAAUGAAUGCAAGAAUUUCAACUGAUCUAAAAGUGAACUGUUAAGAACUCAAAGUUAUACGCAUCUAGAGUAUUUCAGGUGCUGGCAGAGCUAAGCUCCAACUCCACAGCACUGGAUCCAAACCAGUUCUCUUGGGCUGGCAACCCUGAGAAACAAUGGAGAAGUGAUCUUGGAAGCAAGAGGUUGUCAGAGGACUUUGGCAUUCACUGCUCCACACUAAGGGAGGCCAGACCAAACCCUUCUUGGGCACAGGCCACAUUUUAAACCCUGACAAUUAAGGCCAACAUGCUGCCCCAUGCUUUACUGCUGCUCCUGCUGUGAGCACACCUGGUCUGCUAUUUUCUGACACAAUACUUCUUUCUGGAGCAACUUUGGGGAGCCGCCACUCCCAGUGAGUUUGUGGAAGUUGGUUCAAAAGCUGCUGUUUCUCCCAGCAAUGAGGUAACAUCGUCAAACUGGGACAAAAACACUGCAACACUAUUCCCUGCUGGAGCAUGGAUAACUAACCACUCCCAGCCAUAGCAAAACCUCAGCUUCUUGCAAAUUCUCUACCUCAUUGAUAUUUGCUUACAUCAAAUAGGAAAGAGCUGAUGGAUCUGCAGAACUAAACUGAGGAAAUCCUCAGCAAUGCCUCUGAGAAUUAACUUGGAGAUGCCCACAACUAGUUUGUUGAUGCAACAGCAUGCAUAAAACCAUAUGGGACCAUAUUUACAUAAAACCAUAGGGACCAGAGGUCUCCUCUUCACCUCCUGCUAGAAACUCUAAGUACAAAGUUUGCCUACAAGUUUUUCCAAACACUUACCAAGGUAAACGUCAUACCCAUGACUAUUGGCACAAAUAUGAAGUUAAACGUGGUGAUCUGCAGUAGACAGCAAUCCUGAUCAGGGUUUGUAUGGACUUCCUCAUAUUGAAUGGGUGGCUGAAGACCUUUGCAACAGUUGCUCUUUAAUCUGGGAGACUUGAAAGAAAGAGAGAAAUUUAUUUAGCUAAGUAGGAACCUAUGAAGAAUUUGGCUUCUUCUCCCUGGUGCUGACUAGCAGGUUCUCACUGAAGUCCCACACAUUUUGGUAAACUAUUUUAUAAACAAUGAAAAGCCAUCACUCAGGAAUGGGAAUUUUCAGGACGAUUUCUUUGGAGAGGAGAGCUGCCAGACUCUCAAGGUUGUCCUACACACCACACUUACCAUGAGAGCCAUUACUGGUGGUUUUCAUUAGCACAUGUCAGCUUUCUUCACUUCUAAGGGGAAUCCUUCUGAAGUUAAGGCUAGAAGUUUCAGAUUUAGGCCUGUAUUUUGACCAUGAAACUCAGAAAGUCUGGGUUUUGGUGGUAACAAGUAACAGUAACCUAAGGAUUAGGUUAUUUGGGGUGACAAAUGAUCCAUGUAUUAAAGUAGAGAGAGGAUAUCAAAUGAGGAAAUGAAAAUGUAGGAAUCUAAACACAUCGGUAAUAUAGACUGAAAAUUGAGUGUAGUCUCAAAAUGUGCUUUAUCAUGGGAUUCAAAGUUUCCAUUCAUCGUUUGAACUCAGAGGUGUCCUUUCUACCACCCAGAAAAAUCGUUAGUGCUUAAAAAAAAAAAAGUCAUAGCUGUUCUGUCUCUUCAUUCACGACAGUUUAGCUUUCAUACCUGCUUUUUGAACUUGAAAUUGAAUUCCCACAUUGAUUCUUGUCUGUUCCCUUCAAUCUUUUUGCAC